rnacentral:misc_RNA from 1 species
AAUUUUUUUUUUUUUUUAAUUUAAUAGAGAUCUAAUAGGUUGAGUAACAACUGGUGGGCUGCAUAGUAGGAGAUAGCUCUUUGUCUAUCUCACCAUAAAGGCUAUAAAUCUCAAAAUGACUAAAUAGAGAGAUUUGAAUUAGAGACCUUGCUCUAUUUACAUUUAAAAGGAGGAGGAAACCAAAAUUACUCUUUGAUUGAUCAGUUACUUGUUAGUUGGCCUAAUAUAAGUUUUUGUAUAGCUAGUCAUGCAACAUGUGUUUGUUAACAAAUUUACCAAAUGGAACAUGUGAAAAGCCAAGGUUUUCCAAGGAAACCGGAUGUGCAUAAGCAUCUGCUUUUUAUGUAAAAACUGUCUAGUUGCAUAUAAGUUGGUAAAACGCUUUCCUGAUUGUGCAGG